UUCUAACUUGAAUUACCUUCCUUCAGAACUGCUUCCUAAAAAAUUGGUGUUGUCCUCCUUCAAAAACCGCUUCCCUAACAACUUGGUGUUCCAAUCCUCCGAAAAUUACUUCCCUUAAAACUGGUAUUUCUUUCCUGAACACUACUUCCCUCUUCUUCUUUUAACAAACUUGUAUUUGACCUUCAUGUUCUUCGAAUGGUGCCCGACUUCAAAAACGGAACACUACCUCCCUCUUCUUCUUUUAACAAACUUGUAUUUGACCAACAUGUUCUUCGAAUGGGUACCCGACUUUCAAAAACGAUUUUCAAAAUGGCAGAAAAUUUUCUGCC
rnacentral:lncRNA from 1 species